GUCGUUUAAAGCAAUAAAAGUCAAGUAUUUUCUUACUUUUUUCUGGGGACUUACUUAUUCUAUAGGAUAAGUGAUGGCGAGAUAAGAAACAUUGUGCAAGCAGAGCUUGGUGUUGCUUGGUUAAGGAUUGCUGCCACGGAAUUUUUGUCACGCAAGCUAAAUAAAGAAUGCAAGCACAGAAUAUUAUGUACUGUGAACUACAAUGCUGCUAGGCGGGGAACGUAUUCAAAACAUGCUGUAGAGGUUGGAUCAUUGUUUCUUAUCAGCCAUCUGCCUUACAAUAUGUCUGCUAAAAAACAGCUGAUUUCAGCUGCAAGGGAUGGAAGGCUAUCAGCUUUAUAUU